GUCGCGCUCCCUCGGCUCCGGUAGAGGGCGGCAGAGAGCGCCGGGGAGCCGCGACCUCGGCGGCUGGGCCGGGUCUUCCCGGAAGUCCGGGCGAUUCCGUGCUGUUUGCUAGACGUGCUGGGAAAGGCUCCAGGUCAAUGUCCGGAGCAGAAACGACCCUUCUCUGCUGCGAGAGGAGGAAGGUGCUGCCGUCUCCCAAAGCCGAUCUCAGGUGUUCUUUAGAGCACAAGAGCUGUGUGGUCGCCGAGGAUACUGCAUUCUGAGGCACCAGCUGGCAGUAGCCAGACCAGUUAUCUGGCUCACCCAGUUCUGCAAUCCCACCCACGAACAGAAAACAGCAAGAAGGACCCGCUUAGACCUCCUAGGAUUUUAUCUCCAACCUGACCAAUCAGCACUCCCCACUGCCUGGUACCCUACCAGCCACAUUAGCCUUAAAAAAACCUAAUUUUUGAAUUAUCGGGAAGAUUUAUUUGGGUGAUACAACUCUGGUAUCCCAUUCAGCUGGCUCUGCAUGAAUUAAAUUCUCUAUUACGAUUCCCCCGUCUUGAUGAAUCAGCUCUGGGCAGUGGGCAAGGAGAACCUGUGGGGCAAUUACAUCAGAACUUGACCUCAGUCCAGGAGGGGAACCAGAGGCUUCAUCAGACCCCUCCUACACUGUAGAUAAAAGUGCUCUGGAAGUCUCACAAGUCAGAGGGGCCCAGCCUGGGGGAAAGCUUCCACGGGGAGUCCUGCUGGCUCCUUGCCAGAACGGACCCCAGAGCUGAGCUUUGCAGGCCAGUUAGGUGCCAAGAGGCAUCAAGGAGUAGUUUCAUUCUGUAGUAGGGCCCCCCUUCCCCAGACCUCCACAAAAAAGACAUGCACACAAGAGGUUGGAGAGCACUUUUUUUGUUUGUUUGUUUCGAGAUGGAGUCUUGCACUGUCACCCAGGCUGGGGUGCAAUGGGGAUAUCUUGGCUCACUGCAACCACCACCUCCCAGGUUCAAGCGAUUCUCUUGCCUCAGCCUCCCCAGAAGCUGGGAUUACAGGUACCUGACACCACGUCCAGAUAAUUUUUGUAUUUUUAGUAGAGAUGGGGUCUUACCAUGUUGGCCAGGCUGGUCUCAAACUCCUCAUCUCAGAUGAUCUGCCUGCCUUGGCCUCCCAAAGUGCUGGGAUUAUAGGCGUGAGCCACUGCACCUGGCCUAGAGAGCACUUUUUAAUGGGUGGGUUUCUUUGUUCACACUGCCAGGAUGCGCUUAGCCUGUAGCAGCAGGAGGUGCGUGCAGACAUGAACCAGGUGACAUGAUUAAAGAUCAUGUUGGGGAGGAAAGGAGAUGAAUGAAGGGCCCCCUUGGCAAUGGAGAAUGAGGCUGGUAACCCCUCAGGUUUCUGCCACCUCUGCAUGUUCCUCUUUCUCUUGUGGGGAAUGCCAAUGUACCUGCUGUUGUCUAGCUCCCUGCCCAGUUGCUGGCCAUAGCCAGCCCACUGAGCCUUUAGUAAGAGGCAACAAGGACCCUCUAAUCCCCUUCUUUCGUCUCUGAUCCAUAUCUUCUUAAAAUGAUUUUUUCAUCUGUUGGGUCACAGAAAACAAUUUCCAAAAUAUGGUGCUUGGGCGUACUGAGUGUUUUUGGAAAGUGAAAGAAAACAAGCCUCAGAAUCAAGGUCCCUCUAACCUUGUCUUGUUCCCCUUGUGAACCCCAAGCACAGGGGAAGACUCUCUGGGAUUUCCUUGUCUGACCAAGAAAGCUUUUUUUUUUUUGAGAUAGGGACUUGAUUUGUUGUCCAGGCUCAACUUCAGUGGUGGCUCACUAAAGCCUCAAAUUCUGGGGCUCAAGUAGUCCUCUGUAAAACAAAAAUAAAACUCAGACUCCUCUAUCCCAACCAUCUGAAUGGACUCCUCUAUCCCAACCAUCUGAAUGGACUCCUCUUGGCCAAAAGCAUUCCAAAGGUAACCUGGAAAACUAGUUCAGGCCAUGAUGGGAAGUGGGAGUCAGACAUGCCUCAUUACUAUCGUGAAAGGAAACUAAAUCUCAGGACCCCAAAGUCACCAAGCCAAGGGAAGAGUCAAGCUAGAGACUAUGUCAGACAAUUCUGCCUCCCAUUUUACUCCUAAGUAAGGUGGCUACAAAGAUCAAAAGCUACAUACUUUCCUCACCUUGUGGACAAAGGACAGACAGGACUCAAAGUCAUCCCUGUGAGGCUCACUGGGGACAAAUGCAUAUCCAAUUGCUUCCUCUGCUGCAGGUUUGCUGAGCCAGAAUAAAUUGUGUAUUCAGUGGAAGGCUGAUCUACGAUUCAAAAUAAUGCAACCUUUUGUUUCUUAUCUACUUUUGACCUGGAAGCUCCCUACCCCACCACCUUUUGAGUUAUCCUGCCUUACUGGACCCAACCAAUGUAUAUCUUACACAUAAUUAUUGAUGUCUCAUGUCUCCCUAAAAUGUUUAAAAGCAAGUUGUACCCGACUACCUUGGGCACAUGUCUUCAGGACCUCCUGAGGCUGUGUCACAGGUGUGUCCUUAACCUUGGCAAAAUUAACUCCUAAAUUAAUUGAGACUUUUCUCUGAUACUUUUUGGAUUAUACCUCUCGCCUCAACCUCCCAAGUAGUUGGGACCAUAGGUAUGCACCACCACACCUGGCUAAUUUUAACAUUUUUACUAGCGAUGGGGUAUCCACAUGUUGUCCAGGCUGGUCUCAAACUCCUGGGCUCAAGAAAUCCUCCUGCCUCAGCUUCCCAAAGUGCUGGGAUUACAGGCAUGAGCCACUGUGCCUGGCCAAUAAAACUUCUUACCAAGAAAAACAUAAUUGCUUUUUAUCCCAUCCUUGAAAUAUCAUGAUCUAUGGCAGAGAAAAAAACCUGAAGAAUGUAAUCACACCUGGAUGGAGUUUUUCACAAGAUAAUGUCUGCCUCUCCUGCUCAUUCAAAUUGCAAAGAGAAUCACUUACAAGUUAA